rnacentral:snRNA from 1 species
AUGCUCACUUUGGCAGCAUGUAUACUAAAAUUAGAAUGAUACAAAGAAACAUGACCCCUCUACUAAGAUAUGACACAAAUUUAUAAAGCAUUCUAUGUAUUA